AAAAUAAAUUUCUCCUUAUAUGCAAUUAUAAUAAGUCACAAGAGAAUAAUAAUUGCACAACUAACCUCCAAAAGUGUGACAUCCAUCCUUGCAAUUAGAGUUAAUGAACUUUAAUGAUUUGAGAGUAUAAUGAAGUCUUUUACAGCGCCAUCUCAAACAAUUCACAAAUCAACAACAAACCAUUAUAUCAUAAUAAUAACUUUUAAUAAUAAUCAACUCAAUUU
rnacentral:lncRNA from 1 species